rnacentral:rRNA from 1 species
UGGGGAAUUUUGGACAAUGGGCGCAAGCCUGAUCCAGCCAUGCCGCGUGCGGGAAGAAGGCCUUCGGGUUGUAAACCGCCUUUGUCCGGGAAGAAAUCCUUUGCGCUAAUACCUCGGGGGGAUGACGGUACCUGAAGAAUAAGCACCGGCUAACUACGUGCCAGCAGCCGCGGUAAUACGUAGGGUGCAAGCGCUAAUCGGAAUUACUGGGCGUAAAGCGUGCGCAGGCGGUUAUAUAAGACAGUUGUGAAAUCCCCGGGCUCAACCUGGGAACUGCAGUUGUAACUGUAUAGCUAGAGUACAGUAGAGGGGGGUGGAAUUCCGCGUGUAGCAGUGAAAUGCGUAGAUAUGCGGAAGAACACCGAUGGCGAAGGCAAUCCCCUGGACCUGUACUGACGCUCAUGCACGAAAGCGUGGGGAGCAAACA